rnacentral:rRNA from 1 species
ACUGAACGCUGGCGGCAGGCCUAACACAUGCAAGUCGAGCGGAGAUGAGGUGCUUGCACCUUAUCUUAGCGGCGGACGGGUGAGUAAUGCUUAGGAAUCUGCCUAUUAGUGGGGGAUAACAUUCCGAAAGGAAUGCUAAUACCGCAUACGUCCGACGGGAGAAAGCAGGGGAUCUUCGGACCUUGCGCUAAUAGAUGAGCCUAAGUCGGAUUAGCUAGUUGGUGGGGUAAAGGCCUACCAAGGCGACGAUCUGUAGCGGGUCUGAGAGGAUGAUCCGCCACACUGGGACUGAGACACGGCCCAGACUCCUACGGGAGGCAGCAGUGGGGAAUAUUGGACAAUGGGGGAAACCCUGAUCCAGCCAUGCCGCGUGUGUGAAGAAGGCCUUAUGGUUGUAAAGCACUUUAAGCGAGGAGGAGGCUACUGAGACUAAUACUCUUGGAUAGUGGACGUUACUCGCAGAAUAAGCACCGGCUAACUCUGUGCCAGCAGCCGCAGUAA